ACUCCUACGGGAGGCAGCAGUGGGGAAUAUUGCACAAUGGGCGCAAGCCUGAUGCAGCCAUGCCGCGUGUAUGAAGAAGGCCUUCGGGUUGUAAAGUACUUUCAGCAGUGAGGAAGGUGGAUAUGUUAAUAGCAUAUUCUAUUUGUACGUUAGCUGCAGAAGAAGCACCGGCUAACUCCGUGCCAGCAGCCGCGGUAAGUACGGAGGGUGCGAGCGUUAAUCGGAAUUACGUGGCGUAAAGCGCAUGCAGGUGGUUUGUUAAGUCAGAUGUGAAAGCCCGGGCUCAACCUCGGAAUUGCAUUUGAAACUGGCAAACUAGAGUACUGUAGAGGGGGUUAGAAUUUCAGGUGUAGCGGUGAAAUGCGUAGAGAUCUGAAGGAAUACCGGUGGCGAACGGCGGCCCCCGUGGACAGAUACUGACACUCAGAUGCGAAAGCGUGGGAGC
rnacentral:rRNA from 1 species